rnacentral:RNase_P_RNA from 1 species
GGAGAGGAGCAGGCGGUCGCGGGGGCGCACACCUGCGCUUCCCGAGGAAAGUCCGGACUCUGGAGCGGGGUGCCGGGUAACGCCCGGGAGGGGUGACCCUCGGACAGGGCCAUAGAGAAGAAGACCGCCCGGGGGGAAACUUCCGGGCAAGGGUGGAACGGUGGGGUAAGAGCCCACCAGCGUCGGGGCAACCCGGCGGCUUGGCAACCCCCACCUGGAGCAAGGCCAAGCAGGGGGUUGGGUCGCUCCCCCUAUUCCCCCGGGUUGGCCGCUUGAGGUGUGCGGUAACGCACACCCCAGAUUGAUGACCGCCCACGACAGAAUCCGGCUUAUGCUCCUCUCCCGUG